rfam:Clostridiales bacterium 52_15 Ley3_66761_scaffold_10337, whole genome shotgun sequence.
GUGAACUGAUAAUUCGAGAGGUGGAAUGAAGGGGUAACGCCCUGAAACGCCUCCCCUGAUACUCCGGCAUGCAGAGGCCAAACUCUGUGUGAAGCCCGGUAAAGUCGGCAGAGAGAUGCCGUAACAGGUUAAGCUGACGAAAGCUGUCCAGAGGUGGACGGUGCAUCCUAUAUGCCGGGGGUCUAUAAG